rnacentral:lncRNA from 1 species
AUGUACAGCCGGACGCGCCCGGGGUUUCUACAAGAAACAGCCAACGAACGGCAAAAAAAAAAAAAAGCCUUCUCCGGGGAAAAGGGGGGGCCGUGGGGGGGCGGGCGUGGUCGCCAGUGGGGUGUCAUGGCCGCCGGGGUCAUCAUUGGGGUGUCAUGGCCGCCAGGGUGUCAUGGCUGCCAUUGAGGUGUCAUGGCUGCCGUGGUCAUCGCUGUGGUGUCAUGGCCGCCGAGGUGUCAUGGCUGCCGUUGAGGUAUCAUGGCUGCCGGGGUGUCAUGGCCGCUGUGGAGGUGUCAUGGCUGCCUUGGUGGUGUCAUGGCCACUGGGGUCAUCGCUGUGGUGUCAUGGCCGCCGUCGGGGUGUCAUGGCCGCCGGGGUCAUUGUUGUGGUGUCAUGGUCACCGUUGAGGUGUCAUGGCUGCCGGGGUGUCAUGGCCGCCUUGGUGGUGUCAGCGCUGCCUUUGGGGUCGUCACGGUGA